rnacentral:rRNA from 1 species
UGCAAGUCGAGCGGACCGACGGGAGCUUGCUCCCUUAGGUCAGCGGCGGACGGGUGAGUAACACGUGGGUAACCUGCCUGUAAGACUGGGAUAACUCCGGGAAACCGGGGCUAAUACCGGAUGCUUGAUUGAACCGCAUGGUUCAAUCAUAAAAGGUGGCUUUUAGCUACCACUUACAGAUGGACCCGCGGCGCAUUAGCUAGUUGGUGAGGUAACGGCUCACCAAGGCGACGAUGCGUAGCCGACCUGAGAGGGUGAUCGGCCACACUGGGACUGAGACACGGCCCAGACUCCUACGGGAGGCAGCAGUAGGGAAUCUUCCGCAAUGGACGAAAGUCUGACGGAGCAACGCCGCGUGAGUGAUGAAGGUUUUCGGAUCGUAAAACUCUGUUGUUAGGGAAGAACAAGUACCGUUCGAAUAGGGCGGYACCUUGACGGUACCUAACCAGAAAGCCACGGCUAACUACGUGCCAGCAGCCGCGGUAAUACGUAGGUGGCAAGCGUUGUCCGGAAUUAUUGGGCGUAAAGCGCGCGCAGGCGGUUUCUUAAGUCUGAUGUGAAAGCCCCCGGCUCAACCGGGGAGGGUCAUUGGAAACUGGGGAACUUGAGUGCAGAAGAGGAGAGUGGAAUUCCACGUGUAGCGGUGAAAUGCGUAGAGAUGUGGAGGAACACCAGUGGCGAAGGCGACUCUCUGGUCUGUAACUGACGCUGAGGCGCGAAAGCGUGGGGAGCGAACAGGAUUAGAUACCCUGGUAGUCCACGCCGUAAACGAUGAGUGCUAAGUGUUAGAGGGUUUCCGCCCUUUAGUGCUGCAGCAAACGCAUUAAGCACUCCGCCUGGGGAGUACGGUCGCAAGACUGAAACUCAAAGGAAUUGACGGGGGCCCGCACAAGCGGUGGAGCAUGUGGUUUAAUUCGAAGCAACGCGAAGAACCUUACCAGGUCUUGACAUCCUCUGACAACCCUAGAGAUAGGGCUUCCCCUUCGGGGGCAGAGUGACAGGGUGGUGCAUGGUUGUCGUCAGCUCGUGUCGUGAGAUGUUGGGUUAAGUCCCGCAACGAGCGCAACCCUUUGAUCUUAGUUGCCAGCAUUCAGUUGGGCACUCUAAAGGUGACUGCCGG